UGGGGAAUUUUGCACAAUGGGGGAAACCCUGAUGCAGCGACGCCGCGUGAUUUAGAAGGCCUUCGGGUUGUAAAAAUCUUUUCUAUGGGAAGAAAAUGACAGUACCAUAGGAAUAAGGACCGGCUAAUUACGUGCCAGCAGCCGCGGUAAUACGUAAGGUCCUGGCGUUGUCCGGAAUCAUUGGGCGUAAAGGGUACGUAGGCGGGUAAGCAAGUUAGAAGUGAAAUCCUAUAGCUCAACUAUAGUAAGCUUUUAAAACUGCUCAUCUUGAGGUAUGGAAGGGAAAGUGGAAGUCCUAGUGUAGCGGUGAAAUGCGCAGAUAUUAGGAGGAAUACCGGUGGCGAAGGCGACUUUCUAGCCAUAACCUGACGCUGAGGUACGAAAGAGUGGGUAGCAAACAGG
rnacentral:rRNA from 1 species